rnacentral:rRNA from 1 species
GACGAACGCUGGCGGCGUGCUUAACACAUGCAAGUCGAACGGAAAGGCCUUUUCGGAGGUACUCGAGUGGCGAACGGGUGAGUAACACGUGGGUGAUCUGCCCUGCACUCUGGGAUAAGCCUGGGAAACUGGGUCUAAUACCGGAUAGGACCGCACUUUAGUGUGUGUGGUGGAAAGUUUUUUCGGCGUAGGAUGAGCCCGCGGCCUAUCAGCUUGUUGGUGGGGUAAUGGCCUACCAAGGCGGCGACGGGUAGCCGGACUGAGAGGUUGGUCGGCCACAUUGGGACUGAGAUACGGCCCAGACUCCUACGGGAGGCAGCAGUGGGGAAUAUUGCACAAUGGGCGCAAGCCUGAUGCAGCGACGCCGCGUGGGGGAUGACGGCCUUCGGGUUGUAAACUCCUUUCGCCAGGGACGAAGCGUUUUGUGACGGUACCUGGAGAAGAAGCACCGGCUAACUACGUG